rnacentral:rRNA from 1 species
AUGGUCCUCACCCCAUGCAAAUCCCGAUACCCACACUAUCAAAAAAUAGCAUACACGAUCUUCAUGGCAUCCCGGAAGCUACGACACUACUUUCAAGAGUGUUCAAUUACGGUGGCCUCCGAAGUACCACUCAAUGACAUAAUAAAUAACCGCGACACUAUGGGAUGGAUUGCUAAAUGGGCCAUCGAGCUCCUUCCAUUCGACAUAACAUACAAACCACGGUGGGCCAUCAAGUCGCAAGUACUGGCUGACUUUGUCGCCAAAUGGACAGAAGCCGAACUCCCUAAAGAGUACGGCGCAUACUCUAACUGGAUCAUGCACUUCGACGGCUCUAAAAUGCUGUCCGGAUUGGGAGCAGGUGUAGUCCUGACGUCUCCCACUGGAGACAUGGUCCAGUACAUCCUCCAAAUAUUAUACACAGACUCCAACAAUGCGGCCGAAUAUGGGGCUCUGUUGCACGGUCUUUGGAUGGCAGUCUCUAUGGGCAUUCGGCGCCUGGAAGUGCGCGGGGAUUCAAACCUCGCAAUAUCACAAAUAAACGGAGACUUUGACACCAAGGAUCCGAAAAUGGCGGCCUACCGUAAUGCCGUCCUCAAAAUGUCAGCUCGGUUCAAGGGGCUCGAAUUCCACCAUGUGGCUCGAGAAAACAAUCAAGCGGCGGACAUCCUCGCCCGCAUCGGUGCUAAACGCGACCCUGUCCCGCCUAACAUAUUCCUCGAAAGGUUGUUCAAGCCAUCCAUAGUAUGGAAAGCACUACUGGAAACAGGAAAUUUGCCAUCAGCCAGCUCUUUGCCAUCUGCCAGCUGA